rnacentral:misc_RNA from 1 species
GGCCAAAUCGUCUUCAGAGUCCUCCAGUGAGGAAAGUAGCAGUGAGAGCUCCUCUG